AGUGCAGAGCUGGAGGAAAGAGCUGAAAGGCAAGAGUCCAAACUUUCCCGCGGCGACCUAACUGCACCUCCAGUGUCUUCCCCCAGAGGGCACAGAAGCAGCAAGAAGGGCGGGAACACUUGACUGGGGUCCAUGCAGCUCUAGGCUGAGUCUUGCAGGGCUGAGCCCCCCAGGCCUGCUCUCCUGUGUCCUGGCCGCUCCGUCAGUGCCUGCCAGUGGGGUCCAGAGGGACCGUUUUUUUAACGCCUCUUUUGCAGUGAGAUGCGCCUACUUCUCCCUGGAGAAGCUUGAGGAAGCAGAAAUGCUGGAGAUGAGCUGCUCCUCACUCUCACUCCUGGGUGUGCUGGGCAGUGGGGUGCAAUGUGCACGUAGGUGCACACUCUCCCUGGGCGGCAGCGAGCAGCAGAGGUCUGAUCUGUGGUCGGAUGACGAGAGGAAGUGCAAGUAAAGCAGCUGCAGCGAGACCUCGUCCGCACAGGGGCUUGUUCUUCUGUGUCUUUGCAGGGCUGUUUUGGACUCAGUAUUCACCUAAGCACUCCAAAUUACCCAGCACACCCUGCCUGCAUGGCGCUGCGCUGCACCUUCACUCUGGUCACGGGUCUGGCAGUCAGCUCACCAAUUCCUCCUGCUUCCCUGGGACUUGCCGGCUUUUAGCACUGCAAUUCACUCAGCAAACUGGGACUGUUGGUCACCCUACCUGGCAGCCAGUGAUAAGGUGAGGGCCACUCCUGGGAGGGAGGACACCUGUGGGGAAAAUUCUUGUGUUAUUUAUUUCUCCUUCGGGAUAGGGUGCCUGCAGCGCUUCAUGGGAGGGGGUGGGCUGAUGCUGCGGGCUCAGAAGUUUCAAGGGCAUCUGGGGAGACCAGAUAUUCAGAGACCUUCUAGAUGUGCCUGUUCCAUGUAUCAGGGACGCAGGUUUUCCCAACAGGGCUGGUGUCAUUGGCAUGACAGACCUGCCUUGGCUGAGCGUUCACCUGUCUUUGGAGUUCAGCCACCUUAGCAAGUCCUGGGUUUGUUCUUCAGACUUUGCUGCUCGCCCAUUGCCUGGAUCGGGGGCUACUUUGUAAACCACCAGGAAGACUCCAGUGUUUCUGGUUAAUUUUUAGAUGUUUGUUAAUUGCUCUUGGUCUCUCAUUAAUCCCCUGUGGGUCAUCCAGGAAACAUACUCACCACUGUCUGUUCUCUGAGUUUUCAUUUCCAGGCAUCCGCCCUGCCUGGAUCUCCUCACCUGCCAGGAACUUCCUCUCCACAAGCCGGCCAUCCCAGCAAAAGUUCUAACACCAAAGGUCUGGCAACUAGCCUGCCAUCUUGUGCCUGGAGCCGCCUGCGUGCCACCUACUCCCGAAGAUGGGAACCUUGUUGCCAGUUGGGCAGAUGCGGGGCAAUCCUGUACCAAGACCCCAUUUUACCACCUGCUUUCUCAGACCACUCUGGAACCCACUGUCUCAGAUUGUGUCCUCCAGGAAGCAGACCAUGAGAGGGAGUUGGCAGGGCCAAAGAUUUACUGGGGCUAACUAACACUCAGGAAAGGGAUAGGAAGGAAACAGGGCUGGAGAGCAGGUUGAGCCCGACCUGACAGUCUCGAGCAGCCCAACAGGGAGGUGUGGAGCAAGGGUUGCCCACUAGAGGGGCCUGCAUUGGGUACGGGUGAUGGGGUCCACAUGGUACCUGGCAUAUAGCAGGCUGUGCAAUCCAUAUUAACUGACUGGAUAAAUUAAUGCCCAGAAAAGGUGCCCUGGAGAAUGGGUGUGUGCUGAACACAAUAGGGAAGGGCCCAGCAUCUGCCUUGGCAUAGGCAGAACUGUGCUGUGCCCUGCAACAGGCCACCUGAGAGCUGCUUUGAUCUUGUGUGUACAUUAGAUGACUGCCAGGGGCAUGAAGGGGAUGUGCUUCCAGGGCAUUUGCUGGCAGGGCGUCUCGUGAUCUCUUGGUAUUGGUGUGAGCACAGCCUGGCAGGAGAGGGCAGAUCUCCAUGCAAAGUAUGUCAGAAAGCAGAUGGAAGCCAGGCCCCCUCCUGAAAGAGGCUCCUUGAAGGCUCCUGGGACCACAUUAUCAUUCUCUUCACUCGAGAGAUGAGGACACUGAAAUUCAGAGAGGGGAAGUGAUUUGCCUCAGCUUGUACUAAAGAAACAUUUCAACAGAGAACCCAGUGGAAAUUAUGACAUGUUAUCUUCUCAGAGUCCUGAACUCCCAUCCCUACCUCAGAAGAGACUCCUCUGUUCACAGAAGCUAAAGGCAGUUCCUUCCCAAUGGCAACUAUGUUUGGAUGUUGGAUCUACACUUUCUCAAGCACUGUGAUCUUCAAAUCAAAGGAGAUUUCUCCCAUUAUAUACUUCUUAUGAUCAACAAAUUCCAUCAUCUCCCCACUAAGAGAAAGUACUCCAAGAUGAUAGAAUGAUUUUAAAGUUAUGGGACUACAACAGCAGCCACAGGAACCUUGAACUGCCAUCCAGGGCCAUGCAGCAAACAAGCAACAGGGAAAUAUCCCACUAUGCAAUCCUAUUUUGAGAUGAUAUUUAGGAUGAGAGAACAUGCAUUAGUUACCUACCAGCUUGACAGGAAUGGAUUUCCAAAUCUGACACACCAUAGCCUGAAUUCUCACCAGUUUGCUCCUGGAAAGGCCCGCUCAUGCAUGAGCCCCUGCCACUCUUCUAAAUAAGCUUCCAGGCAUUACCUGCAUGCUGUGUUCCUGUGGUGGGAUGGCAGUAAUCUCUGCUAAGAUAAACGGGAGCUUCUGUGGAUAAAGCAUAAACGCAGUGAAGUGUGUGUGGCUGGAAGAUUUAAUGCCUCUACAGUGCUUAGAUACAAGUUGAGCUUGGAAUUCCAGAGGUAGAGCACUGCUGAUUGGAGACAUAUUAAGUAAAAUGUACUGUGGAAAUGAGAUAAAACCUUUAUUCUUGCUAAUGAUUGUCAUUGUAUGUAUUCAGGUGUCCAACAAAGGAUUUUAGAAUAAAGUGUGCCUUUAAAGUUUC
rnacentral:lncRNA from 1 species